GCUGAGAAGACAACGACAAAAACAGAGGAGCGUGGAACUGAAGAAGGCUUCCCUGAGAGCUGCUGCUGCACGUGCGGAGUGCUCCGCAAUGAACAGCCUUGUGGAGAUGAUGCAGAAGCUGCAGCUGAAGGACUGAGAGGACGAGCAUCAGCAGGCAGCGCUGCAGUGCGCGGCGUUACAGGGCAGCGUUCGAGUGCCGCCCAACUCGGCACCACAAAUUUGGUUGUAGUCAAUAAAAAACAGCCACAAUUAGACAUCGACAAA